rnacentral:sRNA from 1 species
GCCGGGUGCAAUGGCGCACACCUGUAAUCCCGGCAACUUGGGAGGCUGAGGCAGGAGGAUCACAACUUCAAAGCCAGCCUCAGCAAAUGCGAGGCUGCUAAGCAACUCAGUGAGGCCCUGUCUCUA